GACGAACGCUGGCGGCGUGCCUAAUACAUGCAAGUCGAACGAGUGGCGGACGGGUGAGUCAUGUCUGGGAAACUGCCUGCUGGAGGGGGAUAACUACUGGAAACGGUAGCUAAUACCGCAUACCAUCGGAUGUGCCCAGAUGGGAUUAGCUAGUAGGUGGGGUAAAGGCUCACCUAGGCGACGAUCCCUAGCUGGUCUGAGAGGAUGACCAGCCAGACGGGAACUGAGACACGGUCCAGACUCCGACGGGAGGCAGCAGUGGGGAAUAUUGCACAAGGGGCGCAAGCCUGAUACAGCCAUGCCGCGUGUAUGAAGAAGGCCUUCGGGUUGUAAAGUACUUUCAGCGGGGAGGCGUUACCCGCAGAAGAAGCACCGGCUAACUCCGUGCCAGCAGCCGCGGUAAUAC
rnacentral:rRNA from 1 species